UGGGGAAUUUUGGACAAUGGGCGCAAGCCUGAUCCAGCCAUGCCGCGUGCGGGAAGAAGGCCUUCGGGUUGUAAACCGCUUUUGUCAGGGAAGAAAUCUUCUGAGUUAAUACCUCGGGAGGAUGACGGUACCUGAAGAAUAAGCACCGGCUAACUACGUGCCAGCNCCGCGGUGAAUACGUAGGGUGCAAGCGUUAAUCGGAAUUACUGGGCGUAAAGCGUGCGCAGGCGGUUUUGUAAGACAGAGGUGAAAUCCCCGGGCUCAACCUGGGAACUGCCUUUGUGACUGCAAAGGCUUGAGUGCGGCAGAGGGGGAUGGAAUUCCGCGUGUAGCAGUGAAAUGCGUAGAUAUGCGGAGGAACACCGAUGGCGAAGGCAAUCCCCUGGGCCUGCACUGANCCGCUCAUGCACGAAAAGCGUGGGGAGCAAACAGGNUAGAUACCCUGGUAGUCCACGCCCUAAAACGAUGUCAACUGG
rnacentral:rRNA from 1 species